AUUGAACGCUGGCGGCAGGCCUAACACAUGCAAGUCGAACGGUAACAGGAAACAGCUUGCUGUUUCGCUGACGAGUGGCGGACGGGUGAGUAAUGUCUGGGAAACUGCCUGAUGGAGGGGGAUAACUACUGGAAACGGUAGCUAAUACCGCAUAACGUCGCAAGACCAAAGAGGGGGACCCUCGGGCCUCUUGCCAUCGGAUGUGCCCAGAUGGGAUUAGCUUGUUGGUGGGGUAACGGCUCACCAAGGCGACGAUCCCUAGCUGGUCUGAGAGGAUGACCCGCCACACUGGAACUGAGAAACGGUCCAGACUCCUACGGGAGGCAGCAGUGGGGAAUAUUGCACAAUGGGCGCAAGCCUGAUGGAGCCAUGCCGCGUGUAUGAAGAAGGCCUUCGGGUUGUAAAGUACUUUCAGCGGGGAGGAAGGGAGUAAAGUUAAUACCUUUGCUCAUUGACGUUACCCGCAGAAGAAGCACCGGCUAACUCCGUG
rnacentral:rRNA from 1 species